GAUGAACGCUGGCGGCGUGCCUAAUACAUGCAAGUCGAGCGAACGGACGAGAAGCUUGCUUUUCUGAUGUUAGCGGCGGACGGGUGAGUAACACGUGGAUAACCUACCUAUAAGACUGGGAUAACUUCGGGAAACCGGAGCUAAUACCGGAUAAUAUUUUGAACCGCAGGGUUCAAAAGUGAAAGACGGUCUUGAUGUCACUUAUAGAUGGAUCCGCGCUGCAUUAGCUAGUUGGUAAGGUAACGGCUUACCAAGGCAACGAUGCAUAGCCGACCUGAGAGGGUGAUCGGCCACACUGGAACUGAGACACGGUCCAGACUCCUACGGGAGGCAGCAGUAGGGAAUCUUCGGCAAUGGGCGAAAGCCUGACGGAGCAACGCCGCGUGAGUGAUGAAGGUCUUCGGAUCGUAAAACUCUGUUAUUAGGGAAGAACGUAUGUGUAAGUAACUGUGCACAUCUUGACGGUACCUAAUCAGAAAGCCACGGCUAACUACGUG
rnacentral:rRNA from 1 species